rnacentral:rRNA from 1 species
AGAGUUUGAUCAUGGCUCAGAGCGAACGCUGGCGGCGUUAAUACAUGCAAGUCGUGGGAGAACGGGGAGCUUCGGCUUCCCUAGUAAACCGGCGCACGGGUGAGUAACACGUAGGUAACCUGCCUUCGAGCCUGGGAUAACCUAUCGAAAGAUGGGCUAAUACCGGAUAAGACCACGGAAGUUUCGGCUUCUGCGGCCAAAGGUGGCCUCUACUUGUAAGCUACCACUUGAGGAUGGGCCUGCGGGCCAUUAGCUAGUUGGUGAGGUAACGGCUCACCAAGGCUACGAUGGCUAGCUGGUCUAAGAGGAUGAUCAGCCACACUGGGACUGAGACACGGCCCAGACUCCUACGGGAGGCAGCAGUAGGGAAUAUUGCGCAAUGGGGGAAACCCUGACGCAGCGACGCCGCGUGGGUGAUGAAGGCCUUCGGGUCGUAAAGCCCUGUCGGAGGGGAAGAAGGGUUGGCGCUCGAAUAGGGCGUUGACUUGACGGUACCCUCAAAGGAAGCACCGGCUAACUCCGUGCCAGCAGCCGCGGUAAUACGGAGGGUGCAAGCGUUGCUCGGAAUCACUGGGCGUAAAGGGCGUGUAGGCGGUCUCGUAUGUCUGACGUGAAAGCCCCGGGCUCAACCCGGGAAGUGCGUUGGAAACUGCGAGACUAGAGUCUCGGAGAGGAAGGUGGAAUUCCAGGUGUAGCGGUGAAAUGCGUAGAUAUCUGGAAGAACACCGGUGGCGAAGGCGGCCUUCUGGACGAUGACUGACGCUGAGACGCGAAAGCGUGGGGAGCAAACAGGAUUAGAUACCCUAGUAGUCC